rnacentral:rRNA from 1 species
CCCUUAGAUGUUCUGGGCCGCACGCGCGCUACACUGAUGCAUUCAACGAGUCUAAAACCUGGUCUGAUAGGGCUGGGUAAUCUUUUGAAUGUGCAUCGUGAUUGGGAUAGAUGAUUGCAAUUCUUCAUCUUCAACGAGGAAUGCCUAGUAAACGCAAGUCAUCAGCUUGCGUUGAUUACGUCCCUGCCCUUUGUACACACCGCCCGUCGCUCCUACCGAUUGAAUGUUCCGAUGAAUACCAUGGACUGAGAGUAUGAAUGGGUUCGCCUAUUUCUGCUUCUCGGGAAGUGGAGUAAAUCUUAACAUUUAGAGGAAGGAGAAGUCGUAACA